CGUAGGGUGCGAGCGUUAAUCGGAAUUACUGGGCGUAAAGCGUGCGCAGGCGGUUCGACAAGUCUGAUGUGAAAUCCCCGGGCUCAACCUGGGAACUGCGUUGGAACUGUCGGGCUAGAGUGUAGAAGAGGGGGGUAGAAUUCCACGUGUAGCAGUGAAAUGCGUAGAGAUGUGGAGGAAUACCGAUGGCGAAGGCAGCCCCCUGGGCUAACACUGACGCUCAUGCACGAAAGCGUGGGGAGCAAACAGGAUUAGAUACCCUGGUAGUCCACGCCCUAAACGAUGUCUACUAGUUGUUGGUGGAGUAAAAUCCAUUAGUAACGCAGCUAACGCGUGAAGUAGACCGCCUGGGGAGUACGGUCGCAAGAUUA
rnacentral:rRNA from 1 species